rnacentral:rRNA from 1 species
GACGAACGCUGGCGGCGUGCUUAACACAUGCAAGUCGAACGAAGUGGCGAACGGGUGAGUAAUACGUGGGUAACCUGCCCUCCUUUUUGGGAUAAGCCUUGGAAACGGGGUCUAAUACCGAAUAAAGGGGGAUGGGCUCGCGGCCUAUCAGAUUGUUGGGGGGGUGAUGGCCUACCAAGGCGGUGACGGGUAGCCGGCCUGGGAGGGUGACCGGGCACGUGGGGACUGCGAUACGGCCCAGACGCCUACGGGAGGGAGAAGUGGGGGAUAGUGCACAAUGGGGGAGAUGCUGAUGCAGCGGCGCCGCGUCGGGGAUGAAGGCUUUCGGGUUGUAAACCUCGUUCGCUAUCGACUGGGUAGGUGGAGAAGAAGCGCCGGCUAACUACGUGCCAGCAGCCGCGGUAAUUC